UACGUAGGUGGCAAGCGUUGUCCGGAAUUAUUGGGCGUAAAGAGCGCGCAGGUGGUUGAUUAAGUCUGAUGUGAAAGCCCACGGCUUAACCGUGGAGGGUCAUUGGAAACUGGUCGACUUGAGUGCAGAAGAGGGAAGUGGAAUUCCAUGUGUAGCGGUGAAAUGCGUAGAGAUAUGGAGGAACACCAGUGGCGAAGGCGGCUUCCUGGUCUGUAACUGACACUGAGGCGCGAAAGCGUGGGGAGCAAACAGGAUUAGAUACCCUGGUAGUCCACGCCGUAAACGAUGAGUGCUAAGUGUUGGGGGUCGAGCCUCAGUGCUGAAGUUAACGCAUUAAGCACUCCGCCUGGGGAGUACGGUCGCAAGACUGAA
rnacentral:rRNA from 1 species